rnacentral:tRNA from 1 species
GGAGAUUUAUUUUAUUUAAAAUAUAAAUUUUGCGUAUUUAAGAAU